rnacentral:rRNA from 1 species
AAGCAGCGGAGCGUGUGGUUUAAUUCGAUGCUACACGAAGACUUACCAGGUUUGACAUGCAAGUGGUAGGAAACCGAAGGCGACCGACCCUUCGGGGAGCUUGCACAGGUGCUGCAUGGCUGUCGUCAGCUCGUGUCGUGAGAUGUUCGGUUAAGUCCGCUAACGAGCGCAACCCUCGCUGUGUGUUACAAGUGUCACACGGUACUGCCGGUCUUAAGCCGGAGGAAGGUGGGGAUGACGUCAAGUCAGCAUGGCCUUUAUGUCCUGGGCUACACACACGCUACAAUGGCCAACACAAUAGGUUGCUAAGCCGCGAGGUGGAGCCAAUCCUCAAAGCAGGCCUCAGUUCAGAUUGCAGUCUGCAACUCGACUGCAUGAAGCCGGAGUUGCUAGUAACCGCAGGUCAGCAAUACUGCGGUGAAUACGUUCCCGGGUCUU